rnacentral:rRNA from 1 species
CACGCCGUAAACGUUGGGCGCUAGGUGUGGGGCUCAUUCCACGAGUUCCGUGCCGCAGCUAACGCAUUAAGCGCCCCGCCUGGGGAGUACGGCCGCAAGGCUAAAACUCAAAGGAAUUGACGGGGGCCCGCACAAGCGGCGGAGCAUGUUGCUUAAUUCGAUGCAACGCGAAGAACCUUACCUAGGCUUGACAUGCACGGAAAUCUCGCAGAGAUGCGGGGUCCGUAAGGGCCGUGCACAGGUGGUGCAUGGUUGUCGUCAGCUCGUGUCGUGAGAUGUUGGGUUAAGUCCCGCAACGAGCGCAACCCUCGUUCUAUGUUGCCAGCACGUCAUGGUGGGGACUCAUAGGAGACUGCCGGGGU